rnacentral:rRNA from 1 species
GAUGAACGCUAGCGGCAGGCUUAACACAUGCAAGUCGAGGGGUAUAGUCCUUCGGAGCUAGAGACCGGCGCACGGGUGCGUAACGCGUAUGCAAUCUACCUUUUACAGAGGGAUAGCCCAGAGAAAUUUGGAUUAAUACCUCAUAGUAUGUGAGAAUCGCAUGGUUUUCACAUUAAAGUUCCAACGGUAAAAGAUGAGCAUGCGUCCCAUUAGCUAGAUGGUAAGGUAACGGCUUACCAUGGCGACGAUGGGUAGGGGUCCUGAGAGGGAGAUCCCCCACACUGGUACUGAGACACGGACCAGACUCCUACGGGAGGCAGCAGUGAGGAAUAUUGGACAAUGGGCGCAAGCCUGAUCCAGCCAUGCCGCGUGCAGGAUGACGGUCCUAUGGAUUGUAAACUGCUUUUGUACAGGAAGAAACACUCCCUCGUGAGGGAGCUUGACGGUACUGUAAGAAUAAGGAUCGGCUAACUCCGUGCCAG